GAUGAACUGUUUUCAGCCCGGGUCACCCCAGCCCUGGGGUGGAGGCCCAUUGAGGAUGGCCGAGCAGGGGCGGGCAUCCAGGCAGGUCCAGCAGUCCUGGCGGGCUGAGGAGAAGGAGGUCAGUGCUCAGGGAGACAUCCGCAGAGGGACCUGGCAGGCAGAGCUCCAGAAGGGAGGGAACUGCACAGACAGAAAGCUCCAGAAGGCUGCCUGAGGGCCUCUGAGGCCUCCGGAGUCAGGCGCCAUGGAUGUGGAAGGUGGACUCUUCAGCAUGGAUGGGACCCUAGGGGGCUGUGGACCCCCGGCCCCUGGGACUCACAGGUGGGAGACAGGAGUUCCAACCGCCAGGGGGAGAGUCCUGGAGGAUCCUGGGCUGUUGGCAGCCACCCAGCAGGGCCCGUCCUGGGAGUGGGGCUGGACUCUUCCUGCAGGAAAGGCUGGGCUGGACCUGCUCUGAGAGGCUUCAGAACCAGCCACACGAAGACCAAAGUGAAGAGCAAGGAGCUGAACUCCACGCAGAACACAGCGCAGCGUCCUUUAAAGGAAGGCCAAAAACAACCCAACAAAAAUGCCAGGUGAUCAAAGCGGUCACAGCACAAUGUCCACAUCCAACGAGAAAUUGCUACUACGUCCAGACGCAGGGAAAGGUGGCCGUGGGAACGUGAGUCAGCAGCAACAGGCCCAGAAGGGCAGCCACGGUGGACUUGUCAGACGUGGACCCUGAAAUGACAAUCACAGCAUGAUUUCAGGCAGGAGCCUGAAAUGGUACAGCUUUGGACAUCGGUUUGGCAAAUUCUUUUAGAGAGAAACACACACCUUCCCUAGGACCCAGCAACUCCACUCCUAAUAACCAAGUGAAAUGGAAGGAGUUGUCCUCAGCAAAACGUGUGUGCGGAAGUUCACAGUCACUUUCUCGGUGAUAACCAAGAGCUGGAAACCACUGCAACACCCACCAGCAGGUGAACGGAUUAACACACUGGGCUAGGGCCACACAAUGAGAUGCUCCGUGGCAACACAAAAUGAACCGUGGACACACACUGCACGGCGGAUGAAUAUGCAGACAUCAGGCCACGUGAAGGGAGCCAGGCCCCGAGGCGCCACGCUUUGUGAUUCAGGGUGGUCCCUCUGCGCCCAAGACCCGGCUGCCUCCUCCUCUUCCUGGCUGCAGGGAGUGCUUGUGUCUGAAGAACGCCAGGCUGGUGUCCCCAGAGGGCGGCUGGAGGGGCUCAGAAACCAUUUUCACCUUCUGUCUCCUCCAUGUCUGCACUGUUUGGGAAAGAAAGCACGCAGCCAAAGAGCGCAAAGAGGCUCAGAGGAGGCCCGGGUGCCCUGGAGAGACGCUGCGUCCUGACGACACAGCAUCCCUGUCCCGCAGCGGAGAUUUCCCAGAUGAAGGAUUCCCCGGCGGGAGACAGGGCCCUGCACACAGGUCCUCUGCCACGCUGCUCACCAUGCCUGUGUGUUAUCUCCCCAUGAAAAGUCACCUAGGCCGAGCAUGGUGGCUCACGCCUGUAAUCCCAGCACUUUGGGAGGUGGAGGCGUGCGGAUCAUCUGAGAUCAGGAGUUUGAGACCAUCCUGAGUAACAUGGUGAAACCCCGUCUCUAGGAAGAAUACAAAAAUUAACUGGG
ensembl:lncRNA TNFRSF14-AS1 TNFRSF14 antisense RNA 1